GUGCCAGCCGCCGCGGUAAUACCGGCAGCCCGAGUGAUGGCCGAUCUUAUUGGGCCUAAAGCGUCCGUAGCUGGCUGCGCAAGUCCGUCGGGAAAUCCACUCGCCCAACGGGUGGGCGUCCAGCGGAAACUGUCCGGCUUGGGGCCGAACGACCCGAGGGGUACGUCCGGGGUAGGAGUGAAAUCCUGUAAUCCUGGACGGACCGCCGGUGGCGAAAGCGCCUCGGGAGGACGGACCCGACGGUGAGGGACGAAAGCCAGGGUCUCCAACCGGAUUAGAUACCCGAGUAGUCC
rnacentral:rRNA from 1 species